AGCUGGGGCUGGAUUAACCUAAUCUGCUUUAUUCAACCUAAUAGACAUCUGUGUGUCAUCUGCAUGUGCUGCUUUUUUAAUAAAACAUAGGCAGCAGCAAAUUGCUCACUUUGGUCUGUCUGCUUUUGAAAAUCAGAUGUAUUGGUCAGCAUAAACUCACCGUUUUCUGUUAACAAUGAAAUUCAUCCAGAGGUGCAGGAUGAAAGUACAGGACAGGUUUGGCUUGUCUGCUUUUCAGCUCUUCUAGACAUUGGAAAUUCCAGUUUGUGUUUAUUUUCUCUGGAUUCCUUCCCACAAGACAGAAGUGAAUUCAGCAUGGAUUAUUGGGGAGAGCCUUGGCUGGGAAUAAGGAUAAUUGCAGCCUCUGGCUGUGCCACAGUUUCACUGAUGAUUUCUUUUAAGUUACUCACCUGCACUGUAUCUGUUUCCUCAGCUGUAAAAUGUGGGUAAUUACCUCCAUUGUAAAAUGUUACAGGGUCUGCUGGUAAUUAUAUGAACGAAGUGCUAAUUACAGUGAUUAUCCCUUGGACCUAGUCUAGAUCUGGCUGAUGUUCCUGUUGUGAUGAACGUAUGAAACAAAUACUACAACUUGCUUUUCUCCAUUCUUAGCGAGGGGCCUGGGAGGUGCCCUGUCAUGCGAUGUGUUCCCAGUGAGAAGCUCUGCUGCCCUGUCACCCAGGUCCCUCUCUUAAUUUCUUGUUCCCCUCCACCCUCGUGUGUUACAGGGCUGUGGGCUGAGGAAUUACUGAUUCAGUAGCUGGAUCCAUGUAUGAUCUGAUAGCCAGGGUUUAUGCUGUGGCUUCACUUUUCCUCUUGGGGAUAUGUAGAAUGCAGCAGCCAGGGAACUGCUCCUGAGGUACCACUUGGGUUGGAGCCAGUCUGUGCUGCCUGGUGGCCUCCAUUCCUUAAGAAGUGCUGACCUUGAUGCCAGGAGAGGUGUCCUUCCAGUUGUGGAGAUUAUUUCCCUCCUGUAAAAGCCUACAGCUUCAGGACUUUAUUAUCAAACAUUUUAUUUGCCUUUCUCUUCUCCGUUUAUUUAGGACACAUUUUCUUUGUAGCUGGGAAUAGCUCUACUAUCCCCUGAGCAGGGCUGGGUAGUGGAGGAAGAAUUGAUAUUCUUCAAGGUAGAAAUGUUCUCAUCCAGAAAUUCCUGCUGCUGCCGCUGGGAAGGUGCUGUAGUUUUUGUUGGUAGUAAUAAGUCACAUUGUACAUCUGGUAGUGAUGAGAGUCUUCUCUCCUACCUAAUCCCUGCCUUCCCUGGUCACAGACCUCAUGGUACAGUAACAACAAAAAUAAUGUGCUUGUUUCAUCUUGCUACAACUCUGCCUGCUCUGUUCUGCCACAUCUUAUUCCCUGCCUUCCUUGGUUCUGGAUGGAUUUUCUGCCUUUGCCUCCAGCCUCCAUACCUGCUUCCCAUCAGCCUCAGCCUUUCUUUGCCCUGGAAGAGCAAGGCUCAGUUAUGUCUUCAGAAUUUAGUAGCUGAGCAGCUCUUCCUUUCUCAGAGUUUUGACAAGUGCAAUGAAUUUUUAACUUUCAAAUGAAGGUUUUAGUUCCUGACCGGGAUGAUGGUUUGGAAAGGCUUUCUGGCAAUGGGAAGGCAGUCUUUAAUUGCAGUUUUGCACCUGAGUUUUCCAGACUAGAUACUCUUCUCUGACAGCUUCUGUCUGAUUGAUUCUAGGGCCUGUUUUUUUCCAUGACAGGAUACUUGAGUGCACCAGGGAUGGGAGCAAUGUGCCACUCCUGAUAGGUGAAAGCGGUCAUUGCCAGGCAAUGAGGGUAUGGAAAGAGCUUCUUUUGUUAGGUGGAGGAAAAAUUAGAUGAGGGAUUAUCAUCUCUCCCACAAUUUGCUCUUGCCUUGCUUUAGAGCCUCUCUCUGAACUGGAGAGGUGUGUCUGUAGUGUGUCUGUGUUCACCUAAUGCUCAUCUGCCAGACUUGUUUGAAAAUCCUUCAUUUGGGAAGCAAAAAAUUCAGUUUGUUCCUACAGAAGUAGCAUCUAUUAAGAUGAAUAAUAUGGUGUGAGAGGCUUCAAAAAUGAAUCCAUGUUCUUACUGCCCAUUGCACAAGUGAACUGAUUCGUGUGCUCUCUUGCAAGCCACAUGCUGAAGGAUGUUAAAUUACUGUGUAACCUGGAGGGUAAUCAGUGAUUCAGAUUUCAGAUUUAUCCAAGUCUAAUUUUGCAGCAUUCUUGCAAUAUCUGGGGUUUGUGUAUCUUGGCUCCACUCUGAAUGCUGUACAUUAAGACUGUAGAUAAAACACAAUUAAAAAAAAAACAAACUUAAAUUGUUUAGUAACAUAAUAAUUAUAAACUUUCUCAGGUCUUCUCUUAAAAAUAGGUGCAGUUUGGUUUUCAUUGAGGUGCAAAGUAUUGUGUAAAAUCACUGCAACUUGUGACAAAAAUGCUUUAGAGUAUCUGAACGAAAAUGCAGCAUCACCGUGAAAACAAAAGUGUUAAUGUAAAAGUGGUUCCAAACGAGGUGCUGCUAAAUGAAGGUUUCCUGGUUUUAAGAGCAGGUUCUUAAGCAGUGAUACACUCCGUGGGGGGCAAUUGCACACCCCAGGGAAGGAGCUGAGAAGCACUUUCUAUAUGUCAGAGAUUGUUGCAAAGAAAUUUAUUCCUUUUUACUACUUUUUGUAAUUACCUGUGACUGCUCGGCUUUGCGAGUCAGUAGGUUACAGAUGAACAACGCUGGCUGGUUGCAGGCCGAGCUGAGCAGCGGGGCAGGGCCGGGCGGGGCCGGGCCGUGCCGUGCCGUGCCGUGCCGUGCCGGUGGCCCCGGUGCUGUGGGCUCCUCACCGGCCUCGCUCGGUGGCGCCUGCCGGAGCUGCGGGCCUCGGAGCCGCGGGCCUGAGCUGCUGUCCCCGCGCCUCGCCGGAGGAGGAGGAAGAGGAGAGUUUCCAUCGCGGCCCGUUUGCAGCUGCCCCCGUGUCUGUACGGACGCGGAAUCCCCACAGGAGGGUGCUGCGAAGGCACUGAAUGUGCAGGUUUGCAGGGAAGAUCAGGGCUUGGAGGAGACGGCGAUCGUAGGGCAGCCGCCGGCGCGGCUCGGCCGUGCCCGGGGAGGCCGCGGGGGAGGCCGCGGUGGGAGCUCGCAGCGCCUCGCUCCGUGCUGGUGGGCUCCCGUGUCCGCUGUGGUGUGUGAGCACUGACACUGACACUCGGCUGCUGCAGAGCGUCCCAGGGCUGUUUCCCUGCCUCCUGCUCCUGGCUGGUGCUGGGACCCUUCCCCUGUGAGCAUUAUCCGUGUCCAACGCAUGGCUUCUCUCCAGCGAGCCUUGGAGCCACCCAGCUAUUUUCUGUCUGCAUGUAGUAUGUUUAGCCUGCACAAGUGGCAAAAUGCGUUUGCUUGCAAGUAGAGACAGUGUCCAAGUUCUGUCCUAAAAUACUUUGUAAGUUGGACUAUUUUAUUCGGUGCAAUCAGAUGAGAAAUAACGGCAAAACCUCCCUUUGGUUCCUGGCUGUGCAACCCUCUUUCAAAUAUUUUAGUUAAAGGGAUUAUUCCUUUUGCAUAAUACAUACUCAUGCCAAAAAACUUGUCUGUCUGACAAGGCCAGUUAAGCAGCACGUGAUUCUCCCUUUAGCUGUGUGCUGCUUCACCCUGAAAUUGUGUGUGAUCAUUUAAAAGUAAACAACCCUCCACCCUGGGGGCUGCACACAUCCGCUCUGCCCCUCACUUCAUUCUGCUGCUUUUCACUUUUUAAAUAAACUUUUGAAACUGAGAGUUAUAUAACUGAUGAAGAAACUUCUCUUUGGGCUGACCUCUAGGACAUGAAGGGGGAUUCACUAAUUCUGUUACAUGGGAGUGUGAGAGCUCUGAUCCCUUCCUUUUAAGGGCAGCAGGAUCAACUGAUGGAGCUGUUGUAGAGAGGGGGUGUAAAAUCAGCUACUCAUUGCAUCAGAGCACUUUACGUGGAAACCUGGGACUGAGAUCUUGUGUGCAAGUCCUUGUGGGGUUCCCUGCUGGCCACAGAGGCAUCACAGCAAGUGCUGGUUCAGUACCUGGGUUUGGAUCGCAGGUCUUUAGAUGGAGGAUUGUGUCCAGCAGUGCAAGUGCUUUGUGUUACUCUGUGGGUUUGGCACUCAUCUGAAAGAGCAUCUCAAAAAAACCCUUUUGGUGGGAUGGGUGAUCCCAAAGUUUGGCUAAUACACACUGUGGAAGAGGUGCCUGGCAGCAGUGGGGGCUUUGCCUCAGCACCUGCAUGGCAGGACAGAGCUGGUCUCGUAUCCGAGUGCUGUUAGAUCAGCUGCAGGCUAAUACAAAUAGACUUGGAUUUUGGCCCUGUAAAGGGAGACUUUCAGCUUCCCCUGGGAAUUCUGCCUUGGCAGAAACCAGCUGUAGUUCAGUGGUUUCUGUUACCAGGCAGAGUCUGUUUGGAUGUUAGAAAAUUAGAGCAGAAAUUCCUGCAGCAGUCAGCUGUGUCUGCGUCACCUCUGUGACCUCUAACUGCUACUCCUGCAAACAGUUGCCAUUAAAGACAGUCAAUAACCCCCUUCUGCAUUCCAUUGGAUCGUCUCUUCCUGCCAUCUCAAA